rnacentral:rRNA from 1 species
ACAGUCAGAGCGGACAGAUGGGAGCUUGCUCCCUGAUGUUAGCGGCGGACGGGUGAGUAACACGUGGGUAACCUGCCUGUAAGACUGGGAUAACUCCGGGAAACCGGGGCUAAUACCGGAUGGUUGUUUGAACCGCAUGGUUCAGACAUAAAAGGUGGCUUCGGCUACCACUUACAGAUGGACCCGCGGCGCAUUAGCUAGUUGGUGAGGUAACGGCUCACCAAGGCGACGAUGCGUAGCCGACCUGAGAGGGUGAUCGGCCACACUGGGACUGAGACACGGCCCAGACUCCUACGGGAGGCAGCAGUAGGGAAUCUUCCGCAAUGGACGAAAGUCUGACGGAGCAACGCCGCGUGAGUGAUGAAGGUUUUCGGAUCGUAAAGCUCUGUUGUUAGGGAAGAACAAGUGCCGUUCAAAUAGGGCGGCACCUUGACGGUACCUAACCAGAAAGCCACGGCUAACUACGUGCCAGCAGCCGCGGUAAUACGUAGGUGGCAAGCGUUGUCCGGAAUUAUUGGGCGUAAAGGGCUCGCAGGCGGUUUCUUAAUUCUGAUGUGAAAGCCCCCGGCUCAACCGGGGAGGGUCAUUGGAAACUGGGGAACUUGAGUGC